GNGGCCAAAUGCGAACUUUAUAAACACAUG
rnacentral:piRNA from 1 species